UUAUAUCCCCAUAGAGUAACUGCGUCACUGAUAUCACAUUAUGUGACACUCUUUCGUUUACUGAGCAAUGCUACCCGAUCCGCCAAUACACCGAUUGCAGCGAAUGCAAGGAAAUAUUAUCCAUAGCCUUUUCAGCCGAAGUGUCGUGCUAACUUAAUUUUAUGACACUGAUAUUUACAGUGCCUUUUAAAUAUAAAUUCAGAACUAAAUUUACAUUGGAUUUUCAAUAUUAGAUCAGUGGCAGAUUCAGGAUUUCAAAACAUAAGGGACCUCACAGUUAUAGGAUCUACUGUAGACCACCUCAGCCCCAGCAUGGUUGGGGCUCAGAUCGAGAGAUGACAUCGACAAGCAUUGCGGGAAUCUGAGAGAAUUGGUGCAACACAGCAAAAGAGAGAAUGAUUUGGCGUCAACAUGCUAAGGCUUUUGUCCUGCAGUGGACUGACAUAGCGGAUGAUGAUUAUUAUUCUGUAGUCUCACCAAACUCCUACUGUAUUAAAAACUCUUCUUUUUCUACAUUACUUUUCUAUUUAUGUCUCUGUUAUAUUAUCCACAGAUCUGUUUCCAUAUGCCUGUGGGUUUCAGUAUUUGUAUUCUAUAUUCAACAACAGAGUCCUGGGCAUACAAAAACAGAGACCUGGUAUGCGAAAACAGGACAUCGAAAACACAGGCUAUG